GGAGUAUAGCAGAUUCCCUUUUCUAUCCUAUCAAUUAGCGGAAACUGGCAAUACUUAAAAACACCAUAUUUCCCAUAAAUACACACAUUCACAAAAUUAAACAAGUCAUUUCUAAGCAUUUGUGCUCAUGAAGAUUAAGUGAUUUUGAAUGCUACGAAAAUGGAAAUCCCCAGUGCCAAACUCCUCUUUUAGAUAUGAGCAGAGGCAUGUUCUGCAAGGUCAAGAGCAAAUUAAAGGAUAAAAGGAAAAACAAAGUUCCAGCACAGAAAAGGACAAGCCAAACUGAGUGAUGGCAUCUGCAUUCUCCACUGCUUCCUGUGCUACAGACCAUCCUAUCAUAAGGCGGUAGGAGUUCAAAGGAAGCAUUUGGAUCUACAAAGUUAGGGUUUCUCUCUGCAACUUUUAGAGCAAAAACGAUGAGAAACAGCAACAUAUGUUGCUACAAAGACAGAAUCUAAGAUGAAAAGCAGCAACACUGGAAUCAGAGAACUUUCAGCACUUUUGCUAGAUUAAUCAUUUGGGGGUCAUUACAGAGCACAGACUCUGGAAACAAAAAACCAAAAAAACAAGGCGGGGUGGGGAAGAACAGGGAAUCACGUUCAGGUUAUCUGUCUUAAACAAAUAGGAAAGACCUGGAGCACACUGUGGGUGAUCAGUAAGUGCCUUUGUGCAACUGUGAAUCAUCUCAUUUGUAAUUAUUUUAUUUUACAGAUAGUUUUAGUAGGUGGAUAUCAACUUCUAGAAAGAGUCAGAGAUACACCCAGGCUGUGCUCUCUGGAAAUCACACAGAUAUAAGUAUAAUCACAGUGCCCCAGGAACACUAAUAAUUGGAAGCUUGUUAGCUCCUCCUCCACGCUCAGGGACAAGCUCACUCACAUCCUUCUGCGGCAGCCUUCCUGAGGAUGGGUGUGCUCACAAUCCAUCCACGUCUGCCCCUGUCAACCACUCUUUCCCUAUGUCUCCAUGACUGCCUCUCUGUUAAGAGCAUUGAGGUUCCUGUGUACAAAGCUGGAGAGCUGUAAGACCUUCAAGAGGUAAAACUGCAAUGUCUCCAGUCCUUGCCAUUCCCUCCUACGUAUGAGAAGGAAGGGCCAGAGCCCACUUCUCCACAGCAGUGUCAUACAUUACCACCUGGAUGCUGGCACAGCAAAUGCCCUGAGUUUCACAAAAAACAAUUCCUGCUGCUGUCAACCUACUCUCCCUCUGUUGGAGUGAAAGGUUGUCCCCAGACAAGGCUGAGGAAAAGACUUCUCCCUUUCUCCCAGGCUUUCCCCCUCCCACACACCCAAACGUGUCACCUACUUUAUGUUAUGAUCCCCAUGGGCUUAUUUUUAGCUUGAGCUUACACAGGACCAACUCCAUUGCCUCCAUAAAAUCAAAGGAAGGGCCGUUACAUGGAAUAGAUGGUCACAUGUAUGUAAGUUUCCAUUCUCUGGAUGUUAAACAC
rnacentral:lncRNA from 1 species